rnacentral:tRNA from 1 species
GGAUGGGAUGCUACAUUGGUAAUGGUCGGGA